GCCCCGCGGCGGGAGCGCCGGGCCGCAGCCUCGCGCCGCCCGCUGCCCUCGGGCUCCGUCCCGUCCCACCGGGCCCUGCUCCCGCAGCUCCCGCCAUGCGCCACAGCCUCACGCAGCUGCUGGCGGCCUCGGCCGGCGGGGCCAGCCCCUCAGGCGCCGUCUGGCCGCUGGCCGGAGCGGGGCAGGCCCCGAGAGGGCGGGAUGGCGGCGGGGAAGGGGACCCGGGCCCCGCGCGGCCCAAACCGCAGCCGCCGCCGCGGCGGGAGCCCUCGGGCGCCUCGGAGCUGCGGCGGCAGGAGAAGGAGGCCGAGGCGCCCGGCGGCGCGCUGGAGGUGUGGGAGCAAGAGGACUGGUUCCCGGGGCUGGAGCUGGGAGACCUGCUGGAGGCGGCCCGGCCGGACUGGGACCUGGACGCGGAGCUGAGCGACUGCUUCUGUGGGGACCCGGAGCCGCUGCCCGCGCCGGGCCAGGGCCCGCGGCCGGCGGCGCCCGGGCGGAGGAGCAGCGGGGCCGGGAGUCGGCUGAAGGCGGCGGCGGCGGCGCGGUUGAACCGGCUGAAGAAGAAGCAGUAUGUGCUGGGGCUGGAGAGCCGCCUGCAGGGCCUCGUUGCCGAGAACCGGCAGCUGCGGGACCGCAACCGCGGCCUGAGCCGCCGCCUGCGAGAGCUGGAGCGGGAGAGCAGCUACCUGCGGGCUGUGCUGGCGAACCAGAGCGCGCUGGGGCAGCUCCUGAGCCGCCUGGCCGGGACCCGCGCCGGCGGGCUGCAGCUCAGCACCAGCCUCUUCAGGGACACGGGCAGCCCCCGCCGCCAGCACCAGCACCUCCAGCCUGCCGGCGAGAGCAGCGACCACGACUACGCCCUGCCCAGCUCCCGGCUCCGCGGGCUGGAGGAGGCGGCGGCGGUGACUGAGACGGAGGAGGAGUGGGCGGCCCCCGGCGGGAUCUGCCUGCACGUGGACCGGGAUCAGGUGUCGGUGGAGUUCUGCUCCAUCUGUGCUCGGCGGGCAGCGGCCUCCUUCAAAAUUUUCUCUUUUAGGUGGUUGCCCUGCCAGGCUCCGUUGUGUAGGGGUUAAAGAACAGUCGUUUUCCACCUCGCAACCUGGUAAGGAUCAAUAUAUUCCCAUAAUGUGGUAUCAGACAGCUUGCUUUGCUUAUCCCAGUCUCUUGUAGUGACUGGUUCAGAAAAUGAUUUCUCUGGUCCUUGGCCUACUCUGCCAAAAUGUUUCUAGCUCUGGAUGACAAUUUAUCGUAAAGGUUACAAUCACAUCACUCAUUAGCUGUUUUCCUUUUUUCGUUUUUGAAACAACUAUAUUGGCUACAUAGUAGCCAAUAUAGGAACUACAUUUUGAAAACAGUUCAUGCAUUUGAAAUAGAAAUUUCUUAUUAAACCAAGUAUCUGAUGAGUGGAAAAAGGAAAACAUGCUAAUAAGGGGGAUGUGACAUUUAUAGCCUUUUAUUACAGGGGACUGUCCCAAAAGUCUUAAGUAAAUUACUUUUUGAAUGAAAAAAAGGAACUUGUGAGCUGUUGGUUUAAAAUGCUGUCUAGUGUUAGGGAUGCAGAGUACCAUUCAAAAGCCCCUCUCUAGCUUGCUCUAAUUCACACUGCAGACUUUUACCUGAUGAAACAGCCUGAGCACUGAUUUAAUCACUGCAGAGGAAUCCUCACAUAGAGGAGUUGCUCUUGCAUGGACCUCUAAGGAGAAUUAGGUUUGAAGAAUCAGUGCAUCGAAGUAACUCAUUACUUUACCUUCCCAUAAGUAAAUCUCUGUGCCCAUGCACCCAGAAAUUCCUAUGUUACUUCAGAGUAGCUUUAAAUUUUAAAAAUAUUGCAUGUAUAUGCAUGUGCUUAACCCUACAGUAGAGUUCUUAAUUCAGCCUCUUACAGUGUCCAGAAAUCUAUAACCUGAUAUAAUUAAGCACAGUUUGGAGAUGAGCAAAUAUGUAUCUUAAGGCUAAUGAUAUGAAAAAUGCUCCAUAAUUGCUCCUGAGAUAGGAGGAAAAAUAGUUUGACAAAAAAAUAGUGUGUGUUUUCUUGUAGUAGUCAGUGUUUCUCCCUAUUGCAAAAGAUGAGUGGGUUCUUUUUUCAGUUGUAUUAUAAUGUUUAGGUUGUUUAGGUUGUUGUAUGUCAGGUGGGGGAAGAAGGAUUGUGAAAAUGAUUAUAUGUAAAGUGAGGUUUCACAAAGAAUACUUUUCUAAAACAGAUUCAUUUAUAAAUUUCUUUCUUUUUUAAAUUAUGCUAUUUAGUGUUUCUGAAGUCUUGUUUCUUAAAGCCUUAAAUUUUGUGUUUAAGGCUAAGUAGUGAAAGCAUUUUCUCCGAGUCAUUUGCUUUAUUGGUGCUAGACCCUGUCACGUGUUCAUCAGUAGAAAAGCAGAUUGUAUUUUCUUUGUGAAACAUCACUGUGUGAUAAAGUAUAUGUGUAUUUAGCAUCCUUGUUUUUCUUUAUGCUAAAGUGGAUUCAGCUGUGUUGGGGCAGAAGAGACGGGACCAGCUGCUGGCCACAUUUCCUGCUUUAUUUUAAAAGGUAAGUGGUUCUGUUGGUUAAAGUCUGAUGGCUUCUGGAGAUAUGACAGUGCACUGUCAUGUAAAAUACUUGGUCCAUGGGAAUCUCCAGUCGGGGUGAUUAAGUUACAGAACCAUUUAGGUUUGGAAAAGACCUCCAGGACCAUCAAGUCCAACCUUUCACUCAUCACCAGCUCUUCAACUAGACCAUGCCACUAAGUGCCACAUGUAGUGGUUUCUUGAACACCUCCAGGGAGGGAGACUCCUGCCACCUCCUGGACAGUCCAUUACAAUGCUCAACAAGCCUUCCUGACAUGAAAUUCCUCCUGAUGUUCAACCUGAAACUCCCCUAGCACCAUUUGAGGCCAUUUCCUCUUGUCCUGUCACUUGUUGCCUGGGAGAAGAAGCUGACCUCCACCUAUGGCAGGUUAAGACCAUUACAUCAGAUUGGGAGUAUUGCUUCUGUAGAAUUCCUGAAUUAGCUCUCAGAUUGCAGAAUACACUAAGGACACCUCCUGCAGUAGGAGAGCUGCAAUUUAUAUUGCUCUAGAACAUACAGCCACCAAUGUGAAGACACACAUGACUCAUAAAUGCAUUACUCUGCACCACUGACCUUAGACAUUGCUGAGAUACCCCCAGUAAUGGCACUGGCCCUCAAAGGCCUCUCGCCACAGCCCCAUCCUUCAGGAAAAGACUUCAUUUCAAGGCAAAAUGGUUACCAGGCCAAAGGCUGUUUUUUUGAUAUGCUGGGAAGCUUGACAGGACUACCACUCCUGAUUGCUCUGUGAUACAAGUGUUCUCUACAUUGUGACCCAUCUAACGGUGUAAAUGAGGUAAUCUUGUGACAGAAGUUUUGUGCUAGCAGUAUGGGGAAAAAGGGAGAAAAGUACUCAGAUUUUGAGUAGAUCUCUAGUAAAACCUUGCCUUGAUCUUCCCCCUAUUGGUUGUGGGGUUCUUUUGGUUGGUCUUUUUUUUUUUUUUAAUAAAUCUCUAUGGUUUGCAUUAAGAAGGAAAAAAACUCUUUUUCGAGAAUACUCAUUUUUUUACAGCUUCUAAAAGUUGUAGCAUUACCUUAGAACCAAACAUUAAGCAGGGACUAUAAAUGCUUUCUUGCCUCCCAUUACCAAAGCAAUACACCUGUCUACUAUUCAGCUGUAUACACUAAACUGGCCAUAAUGAAAAGUUUAACCUGCAUUUAAGUUCAAAACUUAAAAAAAGUCCAGUGCAGAGACUGUUUUUGUAUUAAAGAGACAGCAACACUUAUUUUUCUUGUUUAUUAUGGUUACUUAUCCAAGGCAAUUGAAAAGUUGCGUAAUUUCAUUCAGGUAGCUCUUCAGGGUCCCUGCUACUGUUCAUCUGCAGCAGCAUCUUGAUAUAUAUUCCAUGCUGUUUAGUGGCAAGGUAUAAUCCAGUCAGAGCCUGUACCAGUAUACCCAGACUCAUCUUUCUAAAGACAGGCUGAGAAGUUGUGAGCCAGUAGCGUAACAGAUUUUCUUUUCCUGGCAAGGGAGUUGACAUAUACCUAAACAACAGAAACAGUGGUAGAAACUUUUUUUUUCCAUGUAAGUGUCAAGAAUUAACAUAAAUAUUUAUGUAGAUAGUAAUUUUCUUUUCCUUCUGUGUUAAAUUCACCUGGUGGAACUGAGCUCUCUGCAUAAAUGCUUUAAAACAUCCUAACCAUGCCCUGGGUCUCACCAAGCCUCACCCUGCUGUUGCUGUGCUCUGAACUACACAGAAUGAUACCUCUCAGGGACUUUGGCUGCUGGGCACUGCCCAGGGUCACUGAGGUCUCUUGGCUGUCCAGCCACCUUCAGUGGUGGCAGGAUGGCAACCACUGCACACAGCCAGGCACAGCCUGGGAGACUUGGAAGGCUCCUGCUAAACACAAGGGCUUCCCAAUGGAUCACUUUGCAGAUCUUAUUUCACUUUGAUGUAGCUCUUACAAACUUCAUUUUGUAAUUAGAUGACCUUAAUGUAUAUCUCCUUCCACAUCCUAAAUGUCUACAAGAAGACCAGUGUGCACAGAUCAAAUAUCUACAGAAUUUACACUGAGCUGAACAUUAACCCAUAAAUACAUUUCAAUCAAAACACUGCAGGUAAGACAUACCUGGCUGCAAGGCUUCCAUUCAAGGGGAUAGCCAGGAAAAUGGGAUAGAAACCACCCACAACAGCACCUACUAAUCCUCCUCUGAUCACAGCACAGACCUCACAGUUCAGCUGACCUG